rnacentral:rRNA from 1 species
CUGGCGGCGUGCCUAACACAUGCAAGUCGAACGAGAAAGUGGAGCAAUCCAUGAGUACAGUGGCGUACGGGUGAGUAACACGUGACUAACCUACCCUCGAGUGGGGAAUAACUUCGGGAAACCGAGGCUAAUACCGCAUAAUGUCUACGGACCAAAUGCGUAAGCAGCUUGAGGAGGGGGUCGCGGCUAAUUAGCUUGUUGGCGGGGUAACGGCCCACCAAGGCAAUGAUCAGUAGCCGGCCUGAGAGGGCGCACGGCCACACUGGAACUGAAACACGGUCCAGACUCCUACGGGAGGCAGCAGUGGGGAAUUUUGCGCAAUGGGGGAAACCCUGACGCAGCAACGCCGCGUGGAGGAUGAAGCCCCUUGGGGUGUAAACUCCUUUCGAUCGGGACGAUUAUGACGGUACCGGAUGAAGAAGCACCGGCUAACUCUGUGCCAGCAGCCGCGGUAAUACAGAGGGUGCAAGCGUNGUUCGGAAUUAUUGGGCGUAAAGGGUGCGUANGCGGUGCGGUAAGUCUUCUGUGAAACCUCCGGGCUUAACUCGGAGCCUGCAGGGGAAACUGCCGUGCUG